CUCAGUUAACUGCUUUUCUAUGAUUUUUUCUGGUUCCAGUUUUGUAAAGCCUUUUUGCACACAGUUUACUGCUGGAUUCCUGCUGAGUUGAUACAAUAGACUACCAUGGCUCAGGCAGAUCCACUUACAAAUGAGGGUAACUAAAGACUGAAUGUCAUUGUCUUUGGGGUCACAAAUCCUCUUCUUAGAAAGUGCCUAUUAUCAACUAAAAAAGAAGUAACAAAGAGUUGUGUUGUCUAUAGCUAGUCUUUCCAGUGAUAUGCAUUGAAACAGAAUACACAUUCCUUUGUAAGAACCCAAGAGAAUUUGUUUCUUUCAACUGAAGUACAUUUUUUGAAGAUGUUCAGAAAGGCAUUCUUUUCAAUUAGUGCAUGCAUGGCAUUUAAUAUUGGGAGCAGGGGAGUUAAGUAAUGAGUAUCAAGUUGAAAAUAUAUUUCAGUAAUUUGUAUAUCAUGGGACCAUCUGUACAUAUAUGUUGACAUAUAAGAUGAUGGCAGAAUCAAAAGAAAUAUUUUGGUUUAUUAUACCCAUUUUUUUAUGAGCUUUUGUAAUUAUCUUCCAGUGUCCCCAGUCAAAUCUAUUAGAACUGAAGGACAAGUUAUCACCUUAGACUGGAG
rnacentral:lncRNA from 1 species